UCUUGGCAGAACCUGGGCAUUCUCUGCGCACCACUGCCCCCUUGUGGCUAAGGUAGGAAUUCUCCAUGACCAGCCUCCAGUGUCAGGUCUAAGCAGAGGAAAUUCCAGAACUACAGGGGAAAAGGAGGGCGAGUCCGCCUAAGAGAACUGAAAGACCACGAAGUCCUGAGUCCAGUGGGCACUCAUAUAUCCAGCUCUGAAUUUGUAUGUAAACAUGAAAAAAUCAAGCCUCAAAGAGUACUGUCAGGGAGUGAAGAGAACGCUAGAUCUGGUGAUAAGACAGCCCUGUCUGCAGCCUGGCUUGUUGCUUCCUGGUUGAAAGAUUCUGGGCAGUUGGUUACUGUUUCCAUCUCUAUAGUCUGCAGCCUGGAGUCUGGCUGACUUCUUUUCUGGGAAGGCCAGCUGAGUUAUUCAGAUGGGUCCUCCCACUGAAAGCAGUUAAACGUGCUGAGAUACUGGCAUAGCCAGGGGUUAGGAGUUACCAGACCAGAACUGAAAACAGCAACCUAGAUAAGCCAAGCAGGAAAUUCACUUUUACUCUGAGGACAUUUCUGAAUCUGGCUAAUAGGAACUAGUGUUUGGAUGGGUCCCUUGGGCAAAGGGCACAGGUACAAAUCCAGAGCCCAGAGAGGCAGAUCAAAUAGAAGACCCUCCCCAAUGAGCUGGGAUUCCAAAGAGCCACACUCUCAGAAGUAAACCAGCCCCCAGAAUGACCUAGCUUAUAUCUCCUGAGUGCUCUGUGAUUUCAAGCCUUGAACCUGGAUCAAGAUGUUCCCAGACUGUUUGUGCCUCAGGCUCCUGGAAGAAGAAAUGGAAAUCCUCCUUAAAGGUGAGUUCCUUCAGUGUGGGCUCCACAUUAGGCACACAGUGGCAAGCACUCGGUGAAGACAGCGAAGCACACAGAGAAGGGGAACAGACUCCAUGGCAAGAACCAGAAGAAGCAAGAGACAAUAAAACCCAUAAAGGACUGAAACAUGAAUUAUUUCACAUAGACGAUAAAACGGCGAUUCUUCUUCUUUUUUUCUUUUUUUUAAAUAUUUUUAGUUGUAGAUGGGAACACAAUACUUUAUUUAUUUAUUUUUAUGUGGUGCUGAGGAUCAAACCCAGUGCCUCACACAUGCAAGGCAAGCGCUGUACAACUGAGCUACAAUCCCAGCCCAAACGGUGAUAAAUAUAAUCUUAAAUAAGCAAAAGACUAGCUUGAAAAUAUUUCAUGAAACAGGGAAAUGAUAAAAAGUGUAAAACAUGGGAAACUAUAAAAAGUAACAGUAGGGCUGAGGAUAUACCUCAAUUGGUAGAGUGCUUGCCUUGUAUGCACAAGGCCCUGGGUUCAAUCCCCAGCAACACACACACACACAGUAACAGUAGAAAAGAGAUUUUAACUUCCAAAAAUGAACAAUAUAAUAAUUAGAAAAUCAAAAGGAAGUUAAAAGCAGAUUGGAUAUAGCUGAAAAGAGAAUUGGUGAACUGGAAGAAAAGCCAGAAGAAAUGAUCCAGAAAGAGCAUGAGAGACAGGAGGAAUAAAAAAAAAUAAUACAGCAGAAAGCAUAAAAGACCUGGAGAAUAAAUGAGAAUCGUCUAACAUUUAUUUAACUAGAACUUUAGAAAGAGAGAACAAAUGGGAAAGACAUGAUAUUUGAAGGAUUAGUAACUGAAAAUUUCCCAGAACUGAUACAUCAUCAAUCUACAGAUUCAAAAACCCAAGCAAAUUCCAAGCCAGACACACACACACACACACACACAUUUGUAUUUAUAAGUAUAUUUAAUUUACAUUCAGAAAGACCUACAUACUGUAUGGUUCCAACUAUGUGACAUUCUGGAAAAGGCAAAACCAUGAAAAGGAUGAAAAGAUCAGCGGCCAUCAGGGGCUGGGGGUGGGAGGACGGAUAGGUGAGUACACGGAGUGCUUAGGAUAGUGAAAGCAUUUAGUUUGAUACUGUAAUGGUAUAUACAUGUUUUACAUUUGUGAAAAGCCAUAGAAUGUACAAAAUGAAGAGUGGUUCUUUGAAAAGAUUAAUAAAGUAGCCGGGUGUGGUGGCACCACCUGUAAUCUCAGCCACCUGGAAGGCUGUGGCAAGAGGAUCCCAAGUUCAAAGCCAGUCGCAGCAACUUAUCGAGGACCUUAGCACCUUAGUGAGGCCCUGUCUCA
rnacentral:lncRNA from 1 species